AAUAAAUCUCUCAUGGAGUCCCGGAGAAACUAUUCCUCCUUCUGCCCAUUGCCCUAUCUUCCUCCUACGCCUCCUCCACCAUUCCUCUUCUACCGCCUCUCCAUGCCCUAGAGACUCCCAUCCUAAAUGUCAACUUUUCAUCUAUGCUGCAGUCCAAUCUCUCCUCAACCCCUUCCUCCAACCUUUGGAUCUCUUCUUUUUUUCAAGUUUUCAAUUCCAGGUUGGUUCAUGCAUUAGAUUGCGGAGGUCCAAGCACGACAGUUUGAAGAAAGGAGGCUGCCAUUGAUACUUGAGGCUGCCAAUCUAGGAAAUUAUGUGGGUCUGGUGGCAAGUUCAUCUCCCAUUAAUCCUUUACCUCCCCACAGGUAAGUAACUCCGCAUCGUAAAUCCCUCCUGGUCUCCUCUCUAGCCAUUGAAUUCAUCACCGAACCAUUAAUAAGUUAGAUUGAUCCACAGUGUCUCAUCAAGAAAACCAGAUUUUUCCAUGUCUAUCUUUAGCACUUCUCUAUUUCGGAUUGUAAGUUGUAGGGAGUGGAGGAGAACCAGCUAGGGUGGUCUGCAUCGCCUAAAUUGGCAUACUGCAAUGUAUUUCCAUGCGACCCUUGGUUAGACAACACAAUUAGUUGACGAUUCCUAUGGAGAGAAUUUGGACGUGGAUCGGCUUGAAAUUUGGCUUCUGUCAAUAUGGAAUUGAUUCGCCUCUCCAUAGGUUCCUACCUCUCUGAUUUCAUCUACCCUGUUGCCACAUAAUUAAAUCAUUUGUUUUGGGGGAAAUCGCUGUAUACAUCCAUUGUUUCUCUGUACAAUGCACAUGCUCUUAUAUUUAUUUUAUGAUUGAUUCUUCCAUCACUUUCUUGUUAUGCUUGGAUAACUAGAGUAUAUUAAUUUUAAAUUAUCCAGUCUUCUGUAUGUUCACUUGCAUAGAUGGAUUAAUCCGGAACCUUAACUGAAGACUGAAAGUAACAUGUAUACUUUCCUAGGAAGAUUAAUCUGUGUGAACUUUUAACUUGAGUUUCAAAGAAGUUCUGACAACAAUGUAGUACUGUGACAAAAACACAUUUUUAAUCACACAUUUAGAUGAUGGCGACAUUAUCUUUUUGCUUGAACUUUUAACUAGAGUUCCGAAGAGGUUCUGACUGAUCUAGCAUCUUUGUGUUUUUACUGAACUAAAAUAAUGUACUACGGUGACAAUAAACACACUUUUAAUCGAACAUUUUAGGUGAUGGCGACAUUAUAUUUUCUCUGAAUUCUGCAUGCAUGUUUCCUAUUGAAAUAGUAACUGAAAUUCAUGAGUAUGCAAUGAUUUCUACCCUACAGCAUGAGUAAUAUACUCCGAGUUACUAUUUCAGUUAAGUAACCACUAUUUUAUUUUCUGUGUGUAAUUGACAUGUACGUAUGUUUUUACUCUGUCUGAACCAUCCAUCUCCACAUUACCAGCCUAGGGUUCCAACUUAGCAAUCUAUAGGUAUCCAAGUAUUGUCCAAUAUAUAAACAUGAGAUCCUCUCAUAGAUCGUCAUCUUCGCUGAUUGUGACCGAGCGUGUGUGUGUGUGGCCAUGUGCAACCUUUAUCUUGGCUUGAGCUUCCGUUCCCUUUCUGCGAUACAAUUGAUGCUACCUCUCUUCUCUAUGUAUCUGUUGGUGCAGGUCUCUUUAGGUGCUGAGUGACAUUCUCAACAAUUGUUCUGUCAAAAUGACAAAUCGGCUGAACUGUAUUUCUUAUGUGUGUGUUACUAAGUACUAGCUAUGAUUAUUUUCUUUCUAGGGUUGGCAAUUUUCUAAGCAUUAGGAUUUCUAAGACGUUGAGGUCUUCGACAAUUAAUUAGCCUUCGUAUCACCUAGGUAAUUCUCGCUAGAUCUCCUUAAUUUCUAACUAAAUAUAGAUAUAUUGACAGUAAGGUUGUUGCAGUAAAUAGUUGGAUAAUGCUUUCACAUGUUCUAUUUUAAUGUCUGUUUAAAUCAGUGUUGAAUGCUCACAUCAUCAGUUACUUUUGCAUAUGAAUUGUUACAAUAAGAUGUAUAUUGGUUCUUCAAUGUUUCCAGGUAGAAGAUGAUUUAAAAUAUAGACAUCUGAGCUGCUUAUUACAAUGAUAGGGGAUUCCCAUACUGGAUUACAUUAGUCAGACCAAGCACUGCUUGGAAAAAAUUAGCAUCGCAUGAUCAAGAGUAAAGUAGAGAAGAGCCAUGUUUUUAUAUAUA